rnacentral:rRNA from 1 species
GACGAAGGGGGCUAGCGUUGUUCGGAAUUACUGGGCGUAAAGCGUGUGUAGGUGGUUGCCAUAGUCAGGUGUGAAAGCCUUGAGCUCAACUCAAGAAAUGCACUUGAUACUGGGCAGCUAGAGGACCGGAGAGGAUAGUGGAAUUCCCAGUGUAGUGGUGAAAUACGUAGAGAUUGGGAAGAACACCAGUGGCGAAGGCGGCUAUCUGGACGGUUUCUGACGCUAAGACGCGAAAGCGUGGGGAGCAAACAGG